AGCUCCAGUAGCGUAUGCUAACGUUGUUGCGGUUAAAAAGCUCGUAGUUGGAUUUCUGGUUCGGCGUUCCUGGUCCACAGAGCCAAGUGCUCUCGUGAGUACCGGUCGGACGCUAGCCAUCCUUCCGGAGAGCGGCGCGGGGUUUAAUCGCCACUGCGCUCGCGAUCUGGAUCAUUUACUUUGAACAAAUUAGAGUGUUUAAAGCAGGCAAUUGCUGUGAAUACCUUAGCAUGGAAUAAUAAGAUAGGACUUUUGGCCUAUUUUGUUGGUCGUUAGGACAGAAGUAAUGAUUGAUAGGGACAGUUGGGGGUGCUAGUAUUGAAUGGCCAGAGGUGAAAUUCUUGGAUUCAUUCAAGACUAACUAAUGCGAAAGCAUUCACCAAGGAUGUCUUCUUUAAUC
rnacentral:rRNA from 1 species